rnacentral:rRNA from 1 species
UACGGGGGGAGCAAGCGUUGUUCGGAUUUACUGGGCGUAAAGGGCGCGUAGGCGGCCUCUGCAAGUCGACUGUGAAAUCUCCGGGCUUAACCCGGAAAGGUCAGCCGAUACUGCAGGGCUAGAGUGCAGAAGGGGCAACUGGAAUUCCGGGUGUAGCGGUGGAAUGCGUAGAGAUCCGGAAGAACACCAGAGGCGAAGGCGGCCCACUGGGCUGCACCUGACGCUGAACCGCGAAAGCCAGGGGAGCGAACGGG